ACGAAUACAUGCUCUGGCCUAAUGACACCUUCAUUUAUAUUCUAGUCUCUCUCAUACCUCACACCGUUUUUUUUUUUUACAAGACAAAUAAGUUUCUUUAAAUUUCUCUAAGCCCAACCAACCUCUAUUUCUCUAGACCAGAAGACCAUGUGUCAUGAAAGGGAAUAAUUGAAGGAAGAUGAUUUCAGAUAACACUGAAGACUUUACACUUGAGUACUCCCCACCCUGCAAAAAUCCCCACUAGAACUGCACAAGGAGUUCUCGCAACGUGGUCUCAACCACGUUCACAGGUAGUUGGAGUAGACAUUGCUGAGAUCCUCACAGAAGAAACUUAUUUGGAAUGACCCCAUUUGGACUGCAACAUGGAAAAUAUUCUUUCGACAUUGACCCCCAAAUGCAGUGACCCCAAAAUUUGCAGGCACUGAUUUGGACUUUCAAAGGAUAAAGUGAGAUUUUUCAUAUGUCUCUACAAAAGGACUUUGGGAACAAAUUGAUUA